GUGAGCCGUAUGAUGGGCAACUAUCUCCUGCGGUUUGGAGAGGACUCAGCUGUUAGUUAGUAUCCCCUUGGUUUCGGGGUGGACCCUUUUUCACUCUAU
rfam:Arabidopsis thaliana mitochondrial genome